rnacentral:rRNA from 1 species
GUGUUCCACGCUGUCGGUUCGCCGCCCGUCGGUGUUAACUGGCAUGUCCUGUGGAACGUCCUGCCGGUGGCGGUCCGGGCUUUCGGCCGGCGUAAAGGCUUCUCGCCCGAAGCCGGUCGAUCAGUUCCGGCCGCCGGUCCAAUCCCGCCACGGUGCUCUUCACCGAGUGUCGAGGUGGGCCGGCACGUUUACUUUGAACAAAUUAGAGUGCUUAAAGCAGGCUGGUGUCCGCCUGAAUACUGUGUGCAUGGAAUAAUGGAAUAGGACCUCGGUUCUAUUUUGUUGGUUUUCGGAACCCGAGGUAAUGAUUAAUAGGGACAGGCGGGGGCAUUCGUAUUGCGACGUUAGAGGUGAAAUUCUUGGAUCGUCGCAAGACGAACCUAAGCGAAAGCAUUUGCCAAGUAUGUUCUCGUUAAUCAAGAACGAAAGUUAGAGGCUCGAAGGCGAUCAGAUACCGCCCUAGUUCUAACCAUAAACGAUGCCAGCCAGCGAUCCGCCGAAGUUCCUCCGAUGACUCGGCGGGCAGCUUCCGGGAAACCAAAGCUUUUGGGUUCCGGGGGAAGUAUGGUUGCAAAGCUGAAACUUAAAGGAAUUGACGGAAGGGCACCACCAGGAGUGGAGCCUGCGGCUUAAUUUGACUCAACACGGGAAACCUCACCAGGCCCAGACACCGGAAGGAUUGACAGAUUGAGAGCUCUUUCUUGAUUCGGUGGGUGGUGGUGCAUGGCCGUUCUUAGUUGGUGGAGCGAUUUGUCUGGUUAAUUCCGAUAACGAACGAGACUCUAGCCUGCUAACUAGGCGAUUUCCGGUACCCACAAUAGUGUUACCGGCGAUUCAAUUUCUUCUUAGAGGGACAGGCGGCUCCUAGCCGCACGAGACUGAGCAAUAACAGGUCUGUGAUGCCCUUAGAUGUCCUGGGCCGCACGCGCGCUACACUGAAGGAAUCAGCGUGUCUUCCCUGGCCGACAGGCCCGGGUAACCCGUUGAACCUCCUUCGUGCUAGGGACUGGGGCUUGCAAUUGUUCCCCACGAACGAGGAAUUCCCAGUAAGCGCGAGUCAUAAGCUCGCGUUGAUUACGUCCCUGCCCUUUGUACACACCGCCCGUCGCUACUACCGAUUGAAUGAUUUAGUGAGGUCUUCGGACUGGUGCGCGGCGAUCGGCUCGUCCGGUCGCCGAUGUUGCCGGAAAGAUGACCAAACUUGAUCAUUUAGAGGAAGUAAAAGU